UUAGUUAAAACCAAAUUUAGAGGUAAAUUAUUGUUAAUAAUUAAACUGAUGUUAAAUCUAACUAAA
rnacentral:tRNA from 1 species